CACGGCAUCCAGAACCUGCUGAAGCACUUCAUCCCGGACGUGGUCGAAGUCCGGCCGAUGUAAAUUACCGAAUUUUCCAAAAAGGCCUUGGGGCAAGCGCCGAACCGCUUGCCCCUUUGCUUUUUCAGCGGCACGUUGCCGCCAGCUUUGCCAUCUUACCGGUCCCUGAAUGAUCGUUCUCGCCAUCGAUACCGCGCUGGACUACUGCGCUGCUGCCGUGCUCGAUGCCGCCACGAA
rnacentral:misc_RNA from 1 species